rnacentral:lncRNA from 1 species
GGCGUUUCCCAACGUCACACUGUCUUCUCAUGUGCCAAGAAGCAAAACAGGUAAUCUUUCGUCUGUCCUCUGCAACAUGUUGUAGUUUCAAUUAUUUUUAGCUUUGUUUUCAAGUUGGCCAUGCAUGCACUCUGCGAAAUGGAUUAGAAGUCAGCAUGUGCAUGCAUGAAAAUGUUUGGUCUUGCAUGCAUGCAGUAGUGGGGCCCAUGUGUGGCUGUGAUGUUUUUGCAUGGGAGUGGGCCAUGCGAUGCAUGCAGAAUGCAUGAGUUUUAGCACGCUGUUGUGUUAUUGCUAUAAAUAAUUGACUUAUCCGUCUAACACAAGCGACUGGCGUUAAAAUGUAACUUUCAAAUAGAUAUCAUGCAAGACCUAGCUGCUACUUCACGUGAAGCUGCUCGAUCUCUGAUGGCUGUUGUAGUCUGUAACGAGGAAACACGUAGCCCCCCAGGUGCGCAUGGCCAUGAUAGAAAAGCAAAAACUUAUUGCAUUUUUUCAAUCGUUGGCAUGUUUCAAGACAAACUGAAAUAUGGAUUGUUCCUAUUGAUGCCAGCUGGGGAAGCAGGUAUUUCACUAGCCUCUGGAAGCCAGAACCAUAACGUGCAUGUGCCUCCGAUGGAGCGUGGAAAAGGUAUACAGUUGAUUAGAAACCGUUCUCAAUUAGCCGCGCCGUCCGUUCGAUCUUCAUACAUGUACUAAUUAUGCCUUCCCUUUUUGCAGUAAUUGUUGUUUCGGAACCAAUGGGUGUUGAUGAAGUUCAAGAUAAGCCAAUGAUCGAAGACCGUAAAGGAAAAGGACCAGCAGUAAACUGUGAGUUGACACGAUUGCUAGAUGUGUUUAUCGGCGUUUUUAGCAAUGGUCUUGCUUCUCACUAGUCAGAACUAUGGGAUUGUGUGCAGUGGGUGGGCGCAUAUGUACUAGGCAGAUGACAAUGCAGGAGGCACUGGGGGUUGGAUCGAUGAGAGACCAAGUUGUGCCAGUCGUACACCAAGCAUGCGACCAAGUUAUGUACGAAGGUGCGUACGGCGUGGGUAUGGUACUCAAUGCAUUGUCUUUUGGUCUAAAAACAAAAACUAAUCACCUCGUUCGUCAUCCAUUUUGCAGCUAGUGUGCCCGACGGUGGAGGGCUGGGCGUUGCUAAUGGAGCUGGCAUUGCCACGCUUACUCCCAUAGGAAACUGAUGACCCACAAGUAUAGGAGAUCUAUCGUAGUCCUUUCGAUAAGUAAGAGUGUCGAACCCAACGAGGAGCAGAAGGAAAUGAUAAGCGGUUUCCAGCAAGGUAUUCUCUGCAAGUACUGAAAUAAGUGGUAACAGAUAGUUUUGUGAUAAGAUAAUUUGUAACAAGCAACAAGUAACAAAAGUAAAUAAGGUGCAGCAAGGUGGCACAAUCCUUUUUGUAGCAAAGGACAAGCCUGGACAAACUCUUAUAUGAUGUAAAGCACUCCCGAGGACACAUGGGAAUAUCGUCAAGCUAGUUUUCAUCACGCUCAUAUGAUUCGCGUUUAGUACUUUGAUAAUUUGGUAUGUGGGUGGACCGGUGCUUGGGUGCUACCCUUACUUGGACAAGCAUCCCACUUAUGAUUAACCUCUAUUGCAAGCAUCCGCAAAUACAACAAAAGUAUUAAGGUAAACCUAACCAUAGCAU